rnacentral:lncRNA from 10 species
AUAUAAUCUCGUGGUGCGCCAUUUUUCAAGCCCGUCAGAAAAGCGCAGUAUUCGGGUGGGAGUGACCCGAUUUUCCAGGAGUCCUAACCUAAAAUAAAAUAGAACAUACUGUGCUUAAAGCAAGGGGGGAAUCAUGUAACAAUAAAACCAGUGAAGAAAAUUCUAAUGCUCAGGUGUUCCUGGACAGCAAGUGAGUGACUUGCUCACAGGCGGUAAUUCAGGGACCCAGGUUUCUUCUACCUGGUAGCUCUACUGUCCUUCAGAACCUCAGAGCCCUGUGCAUUCAGCCAGCAGGAGAAAGACCACUACUAAGGUCAUUCACUUUGGGAGAAGCCAGUCUUCAUGCCAUGAGGACGUUCAGGCAGCCCUGUGGAGAGAACCACAUGGAAAGGAUCUGAGGUCUCUCACCAGCACCAAUUUGCCAGCUAUGGGAAUGGGCCACCUUGGAAGGAGACUGUCCAGCCCAAGUGAAGGCUGCAGAUAACUGCAGCUUUGGCCAACAUUUGGCUAUAUUGCUUUGGGAAAUCUCAAGCCAGAACCAUCUGGCCAAGCUGCUCUUAAAUUCCUGAUCCACAGAAGUUUUGGAAGGUAAUAAAUGUUUAUUGUUUUAAGGCACCAAGUUUCAGGGUGAUUUGUUACCAGUAAUAGAUAACUAAUAUGUUUGGCAAAAUGGCUACAUGUCUGUCAUUCAGAGAAGCUUCUGCAAUAAGAGGCCUUCCAUUGUGCAGGAAACUGACCUACCUGGCUUUGCUUUUCUAGGGGUGGUGGCCAUAGACCAAGUGUGAGGUUGUUGAUCAGGGUUAGAGCUGUGAUCAUGAAGGAAAAA